rnacentral:rRNA from 1 species
GACGAACGCUGGCGGCGUGCUUAACACAUGCAAGUCAAGGGGGCCCAGCAAUGGGCAACCGGCGAACGGGUGCGUAACACGUGAGCAACCUACCGAAAUGUGGGGGAUAGCCGGCCUAACGGCCGAGUAAUACCGCAUACGCUCUCGAUGAGGCAUUUCAUUGAGAGGAAACCUACGGGACAUUUCGAGGGGCUCGCGGCCUAUCAGCUAGUUGGCGAGGUAACGGCUCACCAAGGCGACGACGGGUAGCUGGUCUGAGAGGAUGGCCAGCCACAUUGGGACUGAGAUACGGUCCAGACUCCUACGGGAGGCAGCAGUGGGGAAUCUUGCGCAAUGGCCUAACGGCUGACGCAGCGACGCCGCGUGUGGGAUGAAGCUCUUCGGAGUGUAAACCACUGUUGCCCGGGACGAAUAGCUCGAUU